GACGAACGCUGGCGGCGUGCUUAACACAUGCAAGUCGAACGGAAAGGCCCUGCUUUUGUGGGGUGCUCGAGUGGCGAACGGGUGAGUAACACGUGAGUAACCUGCCCUUGACUUUGGGAUAACUUCAGGAAACUGGGGCUAAUACCGGAUAGGAGCUCCUGCUGCAUGGUGGGGGUUGGAAAGUUUCGGCGGUUGGGGAUGGACUCGCGGCUUAUCAGCUUGUUUGUGGGGUAGUGGCUGACCAAGGCUUUGACGGGUAGCCGGCCUGAGAGGGUGACCGGCCACAUUGGGACUGAGAUACGGCCCAGACGCCUACGGGAGGCAGCAGUGGGGAAUAUUGCACAAUGGGCGGAAGCCUGAUGCAGCAACGCCGCGUGCGGGAUAACGGCCUUCGGGUUGUAAACCGCUUUCGCCGGUGACGAAGCGUGAGUGACGGUAAUGGGUAAAGAAGCACCGGCUAACUACGUG
rnacentral:rRNA from 1 species